rnacentral:rRNA from 1 species
UGUAUGAUUAGUUAAUAUAAAGUCUGGCCUGCCCACUGAAGUUAUUUAAAGGGCCGCGGUAAUUUGACCGUGCGAAGGUAGCAUAAUCAGUAGUCUUUUAAUUGGAGGCUGGAAUGAAUGGUCGGACAAAGAGUUAGCUGUCUUUUAUAUAAAGUUUGAAUUUUACUUUUAAGUGAAAAGGCUUAAAUGUGUUAGGGGGACGAUAAGACCCUAUAAAACUUUACAAGCAAUGAUUUGUACUUUCUAAAUUAAAGUAUAAUGCUGUGUACUACUCUGUUUGUUGUGUUGGGGCGACAAAGAUAUAAUAAGUAACUGUUAAUUUUAUUGAAUAGAGAUAACUAGUUUAGUUGAUCCUUUAUUAGGGAUUAAAAGAUUAAGUUACUUUAGGGAUAACAGCGUAAUUUUCCUUGAGAGUCCUUAUCGACGGGAAUAGUUGCGACCUCGAUGUUGAAUUAAGAUUUCUUUUAGGUGUAGCAGUUUAAAGAGUGGGUCUGUUCGACCCUUAAAAUCUU